rnacentral:rRNA from 1 species
UAGGGAAUCUUCCGCAAUGGACGAAAGUCUGACGGAGCGACGCCGCGUGAGCGAAGAAGGUCUUCGGAUCGUAAAGCUCUGUUGUUAGGGAAGAAGAAGUGCCGUUCGAACAGGGCGGCACGGUGACGGUACCUAACGAGAAAGCCCCGGCUAACUACGUGCCAGCAGCCGCGGUAAUACGUAGGGGGCGAGCGUUGUCCGGAAUUAUUGGGCGUAAAGCGCGCGCAGGCGGUCCCUUAAGUCUGAUGUGAAAGCCCACGGCUUAACCGUGGAGGGUCAUUGGAAACUGGGGGACUUGAGUGCAGAAGAGGAGAGCGGAAUUCCACGUGUAGCGGUGAAAUGCGUAGAGUUGUGGAGGAACACCAGUGGCGAAGGCGGCUCUCUGGUCUGUAACUGACGCUGAGGCGCGAAAGCGUGGGGAGCAAACAGG